rnacentral:rRNA from 1 species
GACGAACGCUGGCGGCGUGCUUAACACAUGCAAGUCGAACGGAAAGGCCCUGCUUUUGUGGGGUGCCCGAGUGGCGAACGGGUGAGUAACACGUGAGUAACCUGCCCUUGACUUUGGGAUAACUUCAGGAAACUGGGGCUAAUACCGGAUAGGAGCUCCUGCUGCAUGGUGGGGGUUGGAAAGUUUCGGCGGUUGGGGAUGGACUCGCGGCUUAUCAGCUUGUUGGUGGGGUAGUGGCUUACCAAGGCUUUGACGGGUAGCCGGCCUGAGAGGGUGACCGGCCACAUUGGGACUGAGAUACGGCCCAGACUCCAACGGGAGGCAGCAGUGGGGAAUAUUGCACAAUGGGCGGAAGCCUGAUGCAGCAACGCCGCGUGCGGGAUGACGGCCUUCGGGUUGUAAACCGCUUUCGCCUGUGACGAAGCGUGAGUGACGGUAAUGGGUAAAGAAGCACCGGCUAACUACGUG